CAAUAGCGUAUAUUUAAGUUGCUGCGGUUAAAAAGCUCGUAGUUGGAUUUCGGGUGGGAAUGGCCGGUCCGCCGUUUCGGUGUGCACUUGCUACGCCCACCUUGCUGCCGGGGACGUGCUCUUGAGUUCACGCUCGGGACACGGAGUCGGCGAGGUUACUUUGAGUAAAUUAGAGUGUUCAAAGCAGGCCUACGCUCUGAAUACAUUAGCAUGGAAUAACACGAUAGGACUCUGGCCUAUCUUGUUGGUCUGUAGGACCGGAGUAAUGAUUAAGAGGGACAGUCGGGGGCAUUCGUAUUUCAUUGUCAGAGGUGAAAUUCUUGGAUUUAUGAAAGACGAACUACUGCGAAAGCAUCUGCCAAGGAUGUUUUCAUUAA
rnacentral:rRNA from 1 species